GCUUUGCCCACACAAGACAAGUGUCACGAACCAGCAGGCACGGGCUGCCUUUCAGCGCUGCCCCGAUGGAGGUGGUGGGCAGGGUGGGCCAGGCUCCUCCAGCUCACUGAGGGGCUUGGUGGGUGUUUACAGACCUGAGGAUUGGAAGAUACCAGCAGCAGGAGUUCGCUGAGACCCUGGAAACCUAUAGUGUAGCAGCAGGUUCCUGGCCUCCAGGAUCAGCUGUCAUGGUGCUGUAAUGGCUCAACAGCCUGUAGCUAUCUUCUGUCAAUUUGGUCCUGAUUUAUCUCAACUGGCCUGCGGCCAGGCAGCAGGAUACUGGUCUCAGCACUGACUCUUGUCACCUGAGGAACCACUUGCCAACCUCCUGUGCCCUUGGCCACCCACAGCUAUUGGUGCUGCUCUCCUUCAGAUUACUCAACUGAUGAUAAAAAUAAAAAGUAGUCAAGGCCUGG